CGCUGGCGGCGUGCUUAACACAUGCAAGUCGAGCGGAAAGGCCCUUCGGGGUACUCGAGCGGCGAACGGGUGAGUAACACGUGAGUAACCUGCCCCUGACUCUGGGAUAAGCCCGGGAAACUGGGUCUAAUACCGGAUACGACGCGCUUUCGCAUGGAAUCGCGCGUGGAAAGUUUUUUCGGUCAGGGAUGGACUCGCGGCCUAUCAGCUUGUUGGUGGGGUAGUGGCCUACCAAGGCGACGACGGGUAGCCGGCCUGAGAGGGCGACCGGCCACACUGGGACUGAGACACGGCCCAGACUCCUACGGGAGGCAGCAGUGGGGAAUAUUGCGCAAUGGGCGAAAGCCUGACGCAGCGACGCCGCGUGGGGGAUGACGGCCUUCGGGUUGUAAACCUCUUUCAGCAGGGACGAAGUUGACGUGUACCUGCAGAAGAAGCGCCGGCUAACUACGUGCCAGCAGCCGCGGUAAUACGUAGGGCGCAAGCGUUGUCCGGAAUUA
rnacentral:rRNA from 1 species